rnacentral:rRNA from 1 species
UAGGGAAUCUUCCGCAAUGGACGAAAGUCUGACGGAGCAACGCCGCGUGAGUGAAGAAGGAUUUCGGUUCGUAAAACUCUGUUGUUAGGGAAGAAAAAAUGUAUAGUAACUAUAUACAAAAGAGACGGUACCUAACCAGAAAGCCACGGCUAACUACGUGCCAGCAGCCGCGGUAAUACGUAGGUGGCAAGCGUUGUCCGGAAUUAUUGGGCGUAAAGCGCGCGCAGGUGGUUUAGAAAGUCUGAUGUGAAAGCCCACGGCUCAACCGUGGAGGGUCAUUGGAAACUAAUAAACUUGAGUGCAGGAGAGGAAAGUGGAAUUCCUAGUGUAGCGGUGAAAUGCGUAGAGAUUAGGAGGAACACCGGUGGCGAAAGCGGCUUUUUGGCCUGCAACUGACACUGAGGCGCGAAAGCGUGGGGAGCAAACAGG